rnacentral:tRNA from 2 species
UGCCGGUGUGGCGGAAUGGUAGACGCGGUAGACUCAAAAUCUACUCUUAGCAAUAAGGUGUUGGUUCGAGUCCAAUCGCCGGCAU